GGAGAGAAAAAGAGAGAGAGAGAGAGAGAGCAACGAUCAGCAGUCACGGUGUGUGGUUCGCUGCUGGACGUGCGAAGCGUCUCGCCGUAAUUUGAAGUAAUGAUCGUGACGAACUGUCCGCGUCGCCGUCGUUGUUUGUGGCAGAAUCGCGCAGAGACGAGGCAGCCGUGAUCCGUCGUGCUCGUCGUCGUCGUCGUCGUCGCCGUCGCCACCGCCGCCGUCGUCGUCGUCGUCGUCGUCGUCGUCGUUCUUCGCGCUCCGAGCUGCUUCGAGCCGCGAAGAGAGAGCAGAAAGAAGAGGAGGCGUACCGAGAAACCGCGUCGUCGUCGCACGCUGCUGCAGCGGUCACGGAUGCAUAUGGAGGUGUCCCCGAACCGGCGCUGUCUGAACCAGCUCAACAGCUGAUCGGAGCACGAAGCGGCGGUGAACGGGGCUACUAUCGCACCACCACCCCGCGUUUCGGAGAGGAAUUCAAUUUCGUGUCCGCUGAACGUGAAGAAAAGAAAA